rfam:Aptenodytes forsteri contig72919, whole genome shotgun sequence.
ACACAGGCUUUUUUUAAAGCCAGAUAUCCAAAAUGAACAAACACU